rnacentral:rRNA from 1 species
GGGAUCGAAGAUGAUUAGAUACCAUCGUAGUCUUAACCAUCAACUAUGCCGACUGAGGAUUCUUUAAAUUUGUAAAUGAAUUUAAGAGCACUCCAUGAGAAAUCAAAGUCUUUGGGUUCCGGGGGGAGUAUGGUCGCAAGUCUGAAACUUAAAGGAAUUGACGGAAGGGCACCACCAGGAGUGGAGCCUGCGGCUUAAUUUGACUCAACACGGGAAAACUUACCAGGUCCAGACAUAGUGAGGAUUGACAGAUUGAUAGCUCUUUAUUGAUUCUUUGGGUGGUGGUGCAUGGCCGUUCUUAGUUGGUGGAGUGAUUUGUCUGGUUAAUUCCGAUAACGAACGAGACCCCAACCUGCUAACUAGACUGCAUUAUUUCACGAUAGUGCAGGACUUCUUAGAGGGACAUUUCGGAUCUACCGGAAGGAAGUUCGAG